UACGUAGGUGGCAAGCGUUGUCCGGAAUUAUUGGGCGUAAAGCGCGCGCAGGCGGUCCUUUAAGUCUGAUGUGAAAGCCCACGGCUCAACCGUGGAGGGUCAUUGGAAACUGGGGGGACUUGAGUACAGAAGAGGAAAGCGGAAUUCCACGUGUAGCGGUGAAAUGCGUAGAGAUGUGGAGGAACACCAGUGGCGAAGGCGGCUUUCUGGUCUGUAACUGACACUGAGGCGCGAAAGCGUGGGGAGCAAACAGG
rnacentral:rRNA from 1 species